GCGAAAGCGUGGGGAGCGAACAGGAUUAGAUACCCUGGUAGUCCACGCCGUAAACGUUGGGCGCUAGAUGUAGGGACCUUUCCACGGUUUCUGUGUCGUAGCUAACGCAUUAAGCGCCCCGCCUGGGGAGUACGGCCGCAAGGCUAAAACUCAAAGGAAUUGACGGGGGCCCGCACAAGCGGCGGAGCAUGCGGAUUAAUUCGAUGCAACGCGAAGAACCUUACCAAGGCUUGACAUACACCGGAAACGGCCAGAGAUGGUCGCCCCCUUGUGGUCGGUGUACAGGUGGUGCAUGGUUGUCGUCAGCUCGUGUCGUGAGAUGUUGGGUUAAGUCCCGCAACGAGCGCAACCCUCGUUCUAUGUUGCCAGCGCGUUAUGGCGGGGACUCAUAGGAGACUGCCGGGGUCAACUCGGAGGAAGGUGGGGAUGACGUCAAAUCAUCAUGCCCCUUAUGUCUUGGGCUUCACGCAUGCUACAAUGGCCGGUACAAAGGGCUGCGAUACCGUAAGGUGGAGCGAAUCCCAAAAAGCCGGUCUCAGUUCGGAUUGAGGUCUGCAACUCGACCUCAUGAAGUCGGAGUCGCUAGUAAUCGCAGAUCAGCAACGCUGCGGUGAAUACGUUCCCGGGCCUUGUACACACCGCCCGUCAAGUCAUGAAAGUCGGUAACACCCGAAGCCGGUGGCCUAACCCUUGU
rnacentral:rRNA from 1 species